UACGAAGGGGGCUAGCGUUGCUCGGAAUUACUGGGCGUAAAGCGCACGUAGGCGGAUUGUUAAGUCGGGGGUGAAAUCCUGGAGCUCAACUCCAGAACUGCCUUCGAUACUGGCGAUCUCGAGUUCGGGAGAGGUGAGUGGAACUGCGAGUGUAGAGGUGAAAUUCGUAGAUAUUCGCAAGAACACCAGUGGCGAAGGCGGCUCACUGGCCCGAUACUGAUGCUGAGGUGCGAAAGCGUGGGGAGCAAACAGG
rnacentral:rRNA from 1 species